rnacentral:piRNA from 1 species
UCCACCUCAAAUUUGCCUGACGGAAUGC